rfam:Bacillus thermozeamaize isolate ZCTH02-B2 BIN02_NODE814892915, whole genome shotgun sequence.
CAGCCGAUGAAAGUCCGGUCCGGGUAAUCGCCAGGGAUCCCGGUAGCAGACGACCGCUGCACUGGGGAGACGCCGGGCAUCGAAGCGCCGUGUUAAAAACUCUAUAGGAGGAGCAACCAGACGGUCCGUAAUAUUA